rnacentral:miRNA from 3 species
GAGCACACUUGGUAGCGGUGCC